GUGUUUAUGAAAGGAGAGGUUAGCACGGCCCCUUGACAAGGAUGGAAAAGCUUCAGGUCUAGUAACAGGCACUGGUCAAGGCACUGCAGUCUAUUUUAUAGUGGUUAACUACUGUUUUUA
ensembl:snRNA